rfam:Pristionchus pacificus strain PS312 contig1921, whole genome shotgun sequence.
CGGGGCAUAGUUCAGUGGUAGAGCGCUCGCUUAGCAUGCGAGAAGGCUGGGGUUCAAUUCCCCAUGCCUCCA